CCAAGCUCAAAUUCCAGGAGCUCGUCUGCAGCCUCAGCGACAUCCACCUGAUGGAGAAGGAGCUGGCGCAGGAGCAGCAGAGGAGCGGCCGCCACCGAGCCCCCAAAAUCCUGGAGCCCUUCCCGGAGCCGCCUCCCAAGCCCAGUCGGCCCAUGUACAAGCCGCCAUCCCAUAAUAACCUGCUGGCGCCCCAGCUGCAGUUCCAGGUGAGGA